CGGUAAAUGGGGUCGGGCGGAGGUUGGGAGCUUGCUCCCUGAAGUCAGCGGCGGACGGGUGAGUAACACGUGGGCAACCUGCCUGUAAGACUGGGAUAACUCCGGGAAACCGGGGCUAAUACCGGAUAACUCUUUUCCUCACAUGAGGAAAAGCUGAAAGAUGGUUUCGGCUAUCACUUACAGAUGGGCCCGCGGCGCAUUAGCUAGUUGGUGAGGUAACGGCUCACCAAGGCCACGAUGCGUAGCCGACCUGAGAGGGUGAUCGGCCACACUGGGACUGAGACACGGCCCAGACUCCUACGGGAGGCAGCAGUAGGGAAUCUUCCGCAAUGGACGAAAGUCUGACGGAGCAACGCCGCGUGAGUGAUGAAGGUUUUCGGAUCGUAAAACUCUGUUGUCAGGGAAGAACAAGUACCGGAGUAACUGCCGGUACCUUGACGGUACCUGACCAGAAAGCCACGGCUAACUACGUGCCAGCAGCCGCGGUAAUACGUAGGUGGCAAGCGUUGUCCGGAAUUAUUGGGCGUAAAGCGCGCGCAGGCGGUUCCUUAAGUCUGAUGUGAAAGCCCCCGGCUCAACCGGGGAGGGUCAUUGGAAACUGGGGAACUUGAGUGCAGAAGAGAAGAGUGGAAUUCCACGUGUAGCGGUGAAAUGCGUAGAGAUGUGGAGGAACACCAGUGGCGAAGGCGACUCUUUGGUCUGUAACUGACGCUGAGGCGCGAAAGCGUGGGGAGCAAACAGGAUUAGAUACCCUGGUAGUCCACGCCGUAAACGAUGAGUGCUAAGUGUUAGAGGGUUUCCGCCCUUUAGUGCUGCAGCAAACGCAUUAAGCACUCCGCCUGGGGAGUACGGCCGCAAGGCUGAAACUCAAAGGAAUUGACGGGGGCCCGCACAAGCGGUGGAGCAUGUGGGUUUAAUUCGAAGCAACGCGAAGACCUUACCAGGUCUUGACAUCUCCUGACACCCUAGAGAUAGGGCGUUCCCCUUCGGGGACAGAUGACAGUGUGCAUGAUGUCGUCAGCUCGUGUCGUGAGAUGUGGGUUAAGUCCCGCAACC
rnacentral:rRNA from 2 species